rnacentral:rRNA from 1 species
AAUAUUGGUCAAUGGACGCAAGUCUGAACCAGCCACGUCGCGUGAAGGAAGACGGCCCUACGGGUUGUAAACUUCUUUUGUAAGGGAAUAAAGUGUAGAACGCGUACUAUUUUGCAUGUACCUUACGAAUAAGGAUCGGCUAACUCCGGUCCAUCAGCCGCGGUAAUACGGAGGAUCCGAGCGUUGUCCGGAUUUAUUGGGUUUAAAGGGGGCGCAGGCGGGAGAUUAAGUCGUCGGUGAAAUUUUGCAGCUCAACUGUAAAAGUGCCUUCGAACCUGGUUUUCUUGAGUGUAGAUGAAGUAGGCGGAAUUUGUGGUGUAGCGGUGAAAUGCAUAGAUAUCACGAGGAACUCCGAUUGCGCAGGCAGCUUACUAAGCUACAACUGACGCUCAUGCACGAAGGCGUGGGGAUCAAACAGG